rnacentral:tRNA from 1 species
UUGCUUUUAAAAUCGUGAGGGUUCAAAGUCCCUCUAUCCCCAGCUCUACU